UACGAAGGGGGCUAGCGUUGCUCGGAUUUACUGGGCGUAAAGGGCGCGUAGGCGGUUCGUUCAGUCAGACGUGAAAUUCCUGGGCUCAACCUGGGGGCUGCGUUUGAUACGUGCGGACUUGAGUGCGGAAGAGGGUCGUGGAAUUCCCAGUGUAGAGGUGAAAUUCGUAGAUAUUGGGAAGAACACCGGUGGCGAAGGCGGCGACCUGGUCCGAUACUGACGCUGAGGCGCGAAAGCGUGGGGAGCAAACAGG
rnacentral:rRNA from 1 species